GCGGGUAUGGCGGAACUGGCAGACGCGCCGGAUUUAGGUUCCGGUGGGCAACCGUGCAGGUUCAACUCCUGUUACCCGUACCA
rnacentral:tRNA from 1 species